GAUGAACGCUGGCGGCGUGCUUAACACAUGCAAGUCGAACGGGAAAUACUUCAUUGAGACUUCGGUGGAUUUGAUUUAUUUCCAGUGGCGGACGGGUGAGUAACGCGUGGGUAACCUGCCUUAUACAGGGGGAUAACAGUCAGAAAUGACUGCUAAUACCGCAUAAGCGCACAGGACCGCAUGGUCCGGUGUGAAAAACUCCGGUGGUAUAAGAUGGACCCGCGUUGGAUUAGCUUGUUGGUGGGGUAACGGCCCACCAAGGCGACGAUCCAUAGCCGGCCUGAGAGGGUGAACGGCCACAUUGGGACUGGGACACGGCCCAGACUCCUACGGGAGGCAGCAGUGGGGAAUAUUGCACAAUGGGGGAAACCCUGAUGCAGCGACGCCGCGUGAAGGAAGAAGUAUCUCGGUAUGUAAACUUCUAUCAGCAGGGAAGAUAGUGACGGUACCUGACUAAGAAGCCCCGGCUAACUACGUGCCAGCAGCCGCAGUAA
rnacentral:rRNA from 1 species